GGCCCGGUGGCCUAAUGGUUAAGGCGCCAGAUUUCGGCUCUGGAGAUUGGGAGUUCGAAUCUUCCCCGGGUCG
rnacentral:tRNA from 1 species